rnacentral:lncRNA from 1 species
UUUGGAGUCAACAAUCAUUAUAAUCCCUUUGAUGAUUGUAUUUGUGUGAUAUUCUGGCUGAAAAUCUUGUAAAGAAAGCAAAUGAUCAAUCAUGGUAUUUUCACUCUUUUUAUGGCAUCGCUCAUCAAUGAGACCUUGCAAGAGUGAAUCCAUUUUCCCACCUACCCUAAUCAUAUUCUUCUGUAAUCCUUUGUAGCUACCCAUCUCAAAAGUGGAAGAAAAUCUCUUGGAUUUGAUGCCCCCACCAAGCGCAAAUUUGU